CGGUACAAUGGGUUGCCAAACCGCGAGGUGGAGCUAAUCCCACAAAACCGAUCCCAGUCCGGAUUGUAGUCUGCAACUCGACUACAUGAAGUCGGAAUCGCUAGUAAUCGUGGAUCAGAAUGCCACGGUGAAUACGUUCCCGGGUCUUGUACACACCGCCCGUCACACCAUGGAAGUUGAUUGCUCCAGAAGUAGGUAGCUUAAAAAUGGGCGCUUACCACGGAGUGGUCGAUGACUGGGGUGAAGUCGUAACAAGGUAGCCGUAGGGGAACCUGCGGCUGGAUCACCUCCUUUAAA
rnacentral:rRNA from 1 species